rnacentral:rRNA from 1 species
AACGAACGCUGGCGGCAGGCUUAACACAUGCAAGUCGAACGCCCCGCAAGGGAAGUGGCAGACGGGUGAGUAACGCGUGGGAAUCUACCCAUCUCUGCGGAAUAGCUCCGGGAAACUGGAAUUAAUACCGCAUACGCCCUACGGGGGAAAGAUUUAUCGGGGAUGGAUGAGCCCGCGUUGGAUUAGCUAGUUGGUGGGGUAAAGGCCUACCAAGGCGACGAUCCAUAGCUGGUCUGAGAGGAUGAUCAGCCACAUUGGGACUGAGACACGGCCCAAACUCCUGCGGGAGGCAGCAGUGGGGAAUAUUGGACAAUGGGCGCAAGCCUGAUCCGGCCAUGCCGCGUGAGUGAUGAAGGCCUUAGGGUUGUAAAGCUCUUUCACCGGUGAAGAUAAUGACGGUAACCGGAGAAGAAGCCCCGGCUAACUUCGUGCCAGCAGCCGCGGUAA